rnacentral:rRNA from 1 species
CUGGCCUCAAAUCAGGUAGGACUACCCGCUGAACUUAAGCAUAUCAAUAAGCGGAGGAAAAGAAACUAACAAGGAUUCCCCUAGUAACGGCGAGUGAAGCGGGAAGAGCUCAAAUUUAAAAUCUGGCGGUCUACGGCCGUCCGAGUUGUAUUCUAGAGAGGCGUUUUCCGUGCCGGACCGUGUACAAGUCCCUUGGGAUAGGGCGUCAUAGAGGGUGAGAAUCCCGUCCAUGACACGGACUCCCGGUGCUUUGUGAUGCGCUUUCAAAGAGUCGAGUUGUUUGGGAAUGCAGCUCAAAAUGGGUGGUAAAUUCCAUCUAAAGCUAAAUACAGGCGAGAGACCGAUAGCGAACAAGUACCGUGAGGGAAAGAUGAAAAGCACUUUGGAAAGAGAGUUAAACAGUACGUGAAAUUGUUGAAAGGGAAACGCUUGGAGUCAGUCGUGUCCCACAGGACUCAGCCUUGCUUCCGCUUGGUGUAUUUCCUGGGGGACAGGCCAGCAUCGAUUUUGGAUGCCGGAUAAAGGCUUGGGGAAGGUGGCACCUCCGGGUGUGUUAUAGCCCCUUGUUGUAUACGGUGACCGGGAUCGAGGUCUGCAGCACGCCUUUUGGUCGGGAUUCGUCCACGCCACGUGCUUAGGAUGC